GAAGGAAAGAAGGAAGGAGACAUUUAUUCGUGUGUGAUCCAAACCAAAAGGGGGAAGAGAAAGGAAAAAAGAAAAAAAAAAAAGGCUCUUGAAGAACGAGCGAAAAGGCUAACUUUUAAAUUUCCUGGCAGUCGUGCGAGCACCCAGAGGGGAGAGCGCGGUCUGAGCGGCGUAUUCGGGUUUAAUGCGCUCUCCCCACCGCGUAACUUCCUAAUGCAGAAACAACCUUCUGGGGCUUACUGAAUGAGCGCUCAUUUUCCUUCACACGGGGAGGAAGUGCCAACAAAGAGAAACCUCAUUCUUUUUCUUUCUUUUUUUUUUUUUUAAUUUUGCAUGCAGCAUUGUCAUGACUAUUCCCAUCAUACAGCCAUAAUCCCUUUCCAGCCCCAAAAUAACCUUUGAGCCAGCAUGAUUACAAAGAGCAACUGUAGCUGUACAAACCCACCCCGAAAAAACAAAGUAGGGUGAGCUUGAAGAAGCCAGGUUUUUUUCCGGCUGAGGAAUCACCGUUUCCAUCUGGCCGGAGUACGAUUCUGUAGCUCCGGCAUCGGGAAUUGCUACAACAGACCGUUUCCAGCAGAAGGCUCACAUUUCGGCUGCAACUCUUAAAAAACGCCUAGUUUUCGAGGCGCUGAAUAUACGGGGCUGGAGCGGACUUGGGAGAGAGCAUCAGUGCGACAGCAGUGAGGGGUUUGGCAGCGGGGCGGGGGGGGGGGAUUUCCCUCUCCCCUUUCUUGAAUUUCUUCUCUUUCCCAAUGAUUUCUCUGCCGAGCGUCAAGGACAAAAUAAGACCCUCUACGUUCACCCUCUCCCAGCCUGUCUUCUCACUGCUGGUGAGAAACACAAGCUGCACUUGGUCUUCCGUUAGAUCCUGAUAUUGCAAGUGUGCAGGUACGUGUGCACCAUGGACCAGUCCCCCGGACCUCAUUUACACACGUGCCUGUGGGCGUCCCAUCACCGGGUCCUCACAUCGCAGCCAGUUUGGGGAAGGGAUGAGCGUUUUAUUGUGUCUACACCGCGCGCAGGACUUGAUUCC
rnacentral:lncRNA from 1 species